CGGGGAAUAUUGCGCAAUGGGCGAAAGCCUGACGCAGCAACGCCGCGUGAGGGAUGAAGGCUCUCGGGUUGUAAACCUCUUUCAGCAGGGACGAUUGUGACGGUACCUGCAGAAGAAGCCCCGGCCAACUACGUGCCAGCAGCCGCGGUAAUACGUAGGGGGCGAGCGUUGUCCGGAUUUAUUGGGCGUAAAGAGCUCGUAGGUGGUUCGAUAAGUCGGGUGUGAAAACUCUGGGCUUAACUCAGAGACGCCACCCGAUACUGUCGUGACUUGAGUCUGGUAGGGGAGUGUGGAAUUCCCAGUGUAGCGGUGAAAUGCGCAGAUAUUGGGAGGAACACCAGUGGCGAAGGCGCACUCUGGGCCAGUACUGACACUGAGGAGCGAAAGCGUGGGUAGCGAACA
rnacentral:rRNA from 1 species